rnacentral:rRNA from 1 species
CGAACCUUCGGGUUAGUGGCGGACGGGUGAGUAACGCGUGAGAAUCUGCCCUCAGGAGGGGGAUAACGGUUGGAAACGACCGCUAAUACCCCAUAUGCCGCGAGGUGAAAUGAAUUUCGCCUGAGGAUGAGCUCGCGUCUGAUUAGCUAGUUGGUGGGGUAAAGGCUUACCAAGGCAUCGAUCAGUAGCUGGUCUGAGAGGAUGAUCAGCCACACUGGGACUGAGACACGGCCCAGACUCCUACGGGAGGCAGCAGUGGGGAAUUUUCCGCAAUGGGCGAAAGCCUGACGGAGCAACGCCGCGUGAGGGAUGAAGGCCUCUGGGCUGUAAACCUCUUUUAUCAAGGAAGAAGAUCUGACGGUACUUGAUGAAUAAGCCACGGCUAAUUCCGUGCCAGCAGCCGCGGUAAUACGGGAGUGGCAAGCGUUAUCCGGAAUUAUUGGGCGUAAAGCGUCCGCAGGCGGCCCUUCAAGUCUGCUGUUAAAAAGUGGAGCUUAACUCCAUCAUGGCAGUGGAAACUGUUGGGCUUGAGUGUGGUAGGGGCAGAGGGAAUUCCCGGCGUAGCGGUGAAAUGCGUAGAUAUCGGGAAGAACACCAGUGGCGAAGGCGCUCUGCUGGGCCAUCACUGACGCUCAUGGACGAAAGCCAGGGGAGCGAAAGGGAUUAGAUACCCCUGUAGUCCUGGCCGUAAACGAUGAACACUAGGU